GAUGAACGCUGGCGGCGUGCCUAAUACAUGCAAGUCGAACGGGGAUAUGAUUUCGGUUGUAUCCUAGUGGCGAACGGGUGAGUAACGCGUGAGCAACCUGUCCUUUUGAGGGGGAUAACAUUUGGAAACAGAUGCUAAUACCGCAUAAGACCACGGGUCCGCAUGGACCAGAGGUCAAAGGAGCAAUCCGCAGAAGGAGGGGCUCGCGUCCCAUUAGGUAGAUGGCGGGGUAACGGCCCACCAUGCCAUCGAUGGGUAGCCGAGCUGAGAGGCUGAUCGGCCACACUGGAACUGAGACACGGUCCAGACUCCUACGGGAGGCAGCAGUGGGGAAUAUUGGGCAAUGGGCGAAAGCCUGACCCAGCAACGCCGCGUGAGGGAAGAAGGCCUUCGGGUUGUAACCUCUGUCCUUGGUGACGAAAAAAUGAACGGUAGCCAAGGAGGAAGCCCCGGCUAACUACGUG
rnacentral:rRNA from 1 species